UUAAAAGUAUUACUAGAUUCAGAAAUUCUCAAGGGUUUAAUAAAGUUGAAAUUUUUAGAAAAUAUGCAUAAACGGAAAAAGUUUACUUAUUUGCAAAUCAUCCACUCACUGAGUUGCGAACUCAUAUUUUUGUCAUAUUUUUCCUAUCAGGAGACCGUUGAUUUUUAAGAUACUAGGAAAAGUCUGUUGAAGCGAAAGAGACCAUUUCAUAGUAUGUAAUGAAUAGUUGGGGGACUCAUGUUUAUUAAGUAUUUUGUCUAAUAUUUGGGCUGUCAUGCACUUUGUAGAAGGGUUUGUAAUUGAUGUAAUGCUGGCAUGUAGACAUGAUGUUGUUGUAAAGCACUCAGCCGA
rnacentral:lncRNA from 1 species